rnacentral:rRNA from 1 species
UCGAGCGGAGAAAUGGGAGCUUGCUCCCAUUUCUCAGCGGCGGACGGGUGAGUAACACGUGGGCAACCUGCCCUACAGACUGGGAUAACUCCGGGAAACCGGAGCUAAUACCGGGUAAUACAUAGCAUCGCAUGAUGCAACGUUGAAAGUUGGCCUUUGGCUAACACUGUAGGAUGGGCCCGCGGCGCAUUAGCUAGUUGGUAAGGUAACGGCUUACCAAGGCCACGAUGCGUAGCCGACCUGAGAGGGUGAUCGGCCACACUGGGACUGAGACACGGCCCAGACUCCUACGGGAGGCAGCAGUAGGGAAUCUUCCGCAAUGGACGAAAGUCUGACGGAGCAACGCCGCGUGAGUGACGAAGGCCUUCGGGUCGUAAAGCUCUGUUGUUAGGGAAGAACAAGUACCGUUCGAAUAGGGCGGUACCUUGACGGUACCUAACCAGAAAGCCACGGCUAACUACGUGCCAGCAGCCGCGGUAAUACGUAGGUGGCAAGCGUUGUCCGGAAUUAUUGGGCGUAAAGCGCGCGCAGGCGGUCUCUUAAGUCUGAUGUGAAAGCCCACGGCUCAACCGUGGAGGGCCAUUGGAAACUGGGGGACUUGAGUGCAGAAGAGGAGAGUGGAAUUCCACGUGUAGCGGUGAAAUGCGUAGAUAUGUGGAGGAACACCAGUGGCGAAGGCGGCUCUCUGGUCUGUAACUGACGCUGAGGCGCGAAAGCGUGGGGAGCGAACAGGAUUA